rnacentral:rRNA from 1 species
AACGAACGCUGGCGGCAUGCCUAACACAUGCAAGUCGAACGAGACCUUCGGGUCUAGUGGCGCACGGGUGCGUAACGCGUGGGAACCUGCCCUUAGGUUCGGAAUAACUCCCCGAAAGGGGUGCUAAUACCGGAUAAUGUCUUCGGACCAAAGAUUUAUCGCCGUUGGAUGGGCCCGCGUUGGAUUAGCUAGUUGGUAGGGUAAAAGCCUACCAAGGCGACGAUCCAUAGCUGGUCUGAGAGGAUGAUCAGCCACGCUGGGACUGAGACACGGCCCAGACUCCUACGGGAGGCAGCAGUGGGGAAUAUUGGACGAUGGGCGAAAGCCUGAUCCAGCAAUGCCGGGUGAGUGAUGAAGGCCUUAGGGUUGUAAAGCUCUUUUACCCGGGAUGAUAAUGACAGUACCGGGAGAAGAAGCUCCGGCUAACUCCGUG